rnacentral:rRNA from 1 species
UACGUAGGUGGCAAGCGUUAUCCGGAUUUACUGGGUGUAAAGGGCGAGUAGGCGGGCAGACAAGUCAGAUGUGAAAUCUGGGGGCUUAACCCCCAAACUGCAUUUGAAACUGUAGGUCUUGAGUGAUGGAGAGGCAGGCGGAAUUCCCGGUGUAGCGGUGGAAUGCGUAGAUAUCGGGAGGAACACCAGUGGCGAAGGCGGCCUGCUGGACAUUAACUGACGCUGAGGAGCGAAAGCGUGGGGAGCAAACAGG